AUGCAGUCGACGCGAAAGUCGCUUCGGCGGCGAGUAGAGUGGCGGACGGGUGAGUAACGCGUGGGAAUCCACCCUGUAGUGGGGGACAACCCGAGGAAACUCGGGCUAAUACCGCAUACUUCCUACGGGAGAAAGGGGGCCUCUGAUUCAAGCUCCCGCUACGGGACGAGCCCGCGUCGGAUUAGCUAGUUGGUAGGGUAAGAGCCUACCAAGGCGACGAUCCGUAGCUGGUCUGAGAGGAUGAUCAGCCACACUGGGACUGAGACACGGCCCAGACUCCUACGGGAGGCAGCAGUGGGGAAUAUUGGACAAUGGGGGCAACCCUGAUCCAGCAAUGCCGCGUGUGUGAAGAAGGCCUGCGGGUUGUAAAGCACUUUCGGUCGGGAAGAAAAGCUCGCGGUUAAUAGCCUCGGGACUUGACGUUACCGACACAAGAAGCACCGGCUAACUCCGUGCCAGCAGCCGCGGUAAUACG
rnacentral:rRNA from 1 species